GAUGAACGCUGGCAGAAUGCUUAACACAUGCAAGUCCACUUGAAUUUGGGUUUUUAUCUUAGGUUUGGGUGGCGGACGGGUGAGUAACGCGUAAAGAACUUGCCUCACAGCUAGGGACAACAUUUGGAAACGAAUGCUAAUACCUAAUAUUAUGAUAAUAGGGCAUCCUAUAAUUAUGAAAGCUAUAAGCGCUGUGAGAGAGCUUUGCGUCCCAUUAGCUAGUUGGAGAGGUAACGGCUCACCAAGGCGAUGAUGGGUAGCCGGCCUGAGAGGGUGAUCGGCCACAAGGGAACUGAGACACGGCCCUUACUCCUACGGGGGGCAGCAGUGGGGAAUAUUGGACAAUGGACCGAGAGUCUGAUCCAGCAAUUCUGUGUGCACGAUGAAGUUUUUCGGAAUGUAAAGUGCUUUCAGUUGGGAAGAAACAAAUGACGGUACCAACAGAAGAAGUGACGGCUAAAUACGUG
rnacentral:rRNA from 1 species